UUUAAGCGUAGUCAUAAGUUCUUGUGUGCAUCUUUGAUCAUAUAUCUUAUUUAAAAUACUUUUUAAAAAAUUAAAGAACAUAAGUCACACAUAAAAGUAUUAUUUAUAUUUUAUCAUCUAAAAAUAAUAAAAAUACUCCCUCCGUCUCAAAAUGUAGCAGCAUAGGAUGGGAUGAGACCCAUUAUAUGACUAUGAAUAUGGACAUACUCAUUAAAAAAAGGUUAAAUAAGACAGAGGAUCAAAGUUGAACACAGAAACUUAUGACUGCACUUAAA
rnacentral:pre_miRNA from 1 species